AUAGAAAUCUAUUUCUACUCUGAACAUGCCCGAUCACGUCUGAUCUCCAAAGCUAAGCAGGGUCAGGCCUGGUUAGUAUUUGGAUAGGAGAAAUCUAUU
rnacentral:rRNA from 1 species